UGCAGAUAUUGUCUUCCUUCUGGAUGGAUCUACGAGUGUGAAAGCAGACCAGUUCAUUCUCAUGAAGGAAUUUGUAAAGAAUGUGACCCGGAGUCUCCUGCCAUAUGACACCUUAUUUGCCUUUGCACAGUACUCUGACCAUAUGACCAUACAUGUGAACUUCAAUCAGUUCAAUAGAACAGGAUUUGAAAAGCAGGUGGACAGUAUGAUCCAGAGGCAAGGAGGCACAAACCCUGGAUACGGUGUUGGGAAAGUUGUGAAAUAUAUAUUUAAUUCUUUUGCUGGAGCAAGACCUGGUGCCAAAAGGAUCCUCAUUACCAUCAUAGAUGGGGAAAUCCAUAAUACUUCAGAAUAUCCCAGUGUCACAGCAGAGGCUGAUGGGCAAAAGAUUACUAGAUACGCUAU